UCAAGUGAAUAAGCGCAUACGGUGGAUGCCUUGGCGACAACAGGCGAUGAAGGACGUAGUAGCUUGCGAUAAGCCCCGGCGAGCCAGCAAACAGGCUUUGACCCGAGGAUUUCCGAAUGGGGGAACCCGGCCAGCAAUGGUCACUAAUAUCUGAAUACAUAGGGUAUUAGAGCGAACCUGGAGAACUGAAACAUCUAAGUAACCAGAGGAAAAGAAAUCAACCGAGAUUCCCAAAGUAGCGGCGAGCGAAAUGGGAACAGCCCUUAAGCUUAUAUAGUCUUAGUAGAAGUGUCUGGAAAGUCACACCACAGAGAGUGAUAGUCUCGUAUACGAAAAGGCAAUUUAAGUGAAAUCGAGUAGGGCGGAGCACGAGAAACUCUGUCUGAACAUGGGGGGACCAUCCUCCAAGGCUAAAUACUCGUUGUCGACCGAUAGUGAACCAGUACCGUGAGGGAAAGGCGAAAAGAACCCCUGAUAGGGGAGUGAAAUAGAACCUGAAACCGUAUGCGUACAAGCAGUGGGAGCACCUUUAUGGUGUGACUGCGUACCUUUUGUAUAAUGGGUCAGCGACUUAUAUCUCAGUAGCAAGCUUAACCGAAUAGGGGAGGCGUAGGGAAACCGAGUCUUAAUAGGGCGUCAAGUUGCUGGGAAUAGACCCGAAACCGAGCGAUCUAGCCAUGGGCAGGUUGAAGGUCAGGUAACACUGACUGGAGGACCGAACCCACUUAUGUUGAAAAAUGAGGGGAUGACCUGUGGCUAGGAGUGAAAGGCUAAUCAAGCUCGGAGAUAGCUGGUUCUCCUCGAAAGCUAUUGAGGUAGCGCCUCGUGUCUCACUCCUGGGGGUAGAGCACUGUUUGGGCUAGGGGGUCAUCUCGACUUACCAACCCCAUGCAAACUCCGAAUACCAGGAAGUGCAAUCACGGGAGACACACGGCGGGUGCUAACGUCCGUCGUGGAGAGGGAAACAACCCAGACCGCCAGCUAAGGUCCCAAAAUUACAGCUCAGUGGGAAACGAUGUGGAAAGGCCCAGACAGCCAGGAGGUUGGCUUAGAAGCAGCCACCCUUUAAAGAAAGCGUAAUAGCUCACUGGUCGAGUCGGUCUGCGCGGAAGAUAUAACGGGGCUAAGCUGUAUACCGAAGCUGCGGAUGCCGCAAGGCAUGGUAGAGGAGCGUUCUGUACGCCUGCGAAGGUGAGUUGAAAAGCUUGCUGGAGGUAUCAGAAGUGCGAAUGCUGACAUGAGUAACGACAAUGUGGGUGAAAAACCCACACGCCGAAAACCCAAGGUUUCCUGCGCAACGUUAAUCGGCGCAGGGUGAGUCGACCCCUAAGGCGAGGCAGAAAUGCGUAGUCGAUGGGAAACUGGUUAAUAUUCCAGUACCACUUAAUACUGCGAUGAGGGGACGGAGAAGGCUAAAUCAUCCAACUGUUGGAAUAGUUGGUUCAAGGUAGUAGGCAGAUAACUUAGGCAAAUCCGGGUUAUCAAUGCUGAGAGCUGAUGACGAGCACCUUUAUGGAGCGAAGUGAUUGAUGCCAUGCUUCCAGGAAAAGCCUCUAAGCAUAGGUAUUAAGUGAUCGUACCCCAAACCGACACAGGUGGGUAGGGAGAGAAUCCUAAGGCGCUUGAGAGAACUCUGGUGAAGGAACU
rnacentral:rRNA from 1 species